UACGGAGGGUGCAAGCGUUAUCCGGAUUCACUGGGGUUAAGGGGUGCGUAGGUGGGAAUGUAAGUCAGUGGUGAAAUCUCCGUGCUUAACACGGAAACUGCCAUUGAUACUAUGUUUCUUGAAUUUUCCGGAGGUCAGCGGAAUAUGUCAUGUAGCGGUGAAAUGCUUAGAUAUGACAUAGAACACCAAUUGCGAAGGCAGCUGACUACAGGGACAUUGACACUGAGGCACGAAAGCGUGGGGAUCAAACAGG
rnacentral:rRNA from 1 species